UACAGAGGGUGCAAGCGUUAAUCGGAAUUACUGGGCGUAAAGCGCGCGUAGGUGGUUUGUUAAGUUGGAUGUGAAAUCCCCGGGCUCAACCUGGGAACUGCGUUCAAAACUGACUGACUAGAGUAUGGUAGAGGGUGGUGGAAUUUCCUGUGUAGCGGUGAAAUGCGUAGAUAUAGGAAGGAACACCAGUGGCGAAGGCGACCACCUGGACUGAUACUGACACUGAGGUGCGAAAGCGUGGGGAGCAAACAGG
rnacentral:rRNA from 1 species